UAAGGUGCCACAGGAUUCUUUGCUGCUUUUACAGAUCCAGACUAACACGGCUACCCUCUGAUACUUUCCCCUAUAGAUGCUAUAGAUCACCAUCAUUUUUAAUUUUCUUGGGUAUGCUAUAAGCAUGUAAGGAAAACCUUCAUGGACUUCCAUAAUGAAUUUAAUUAAAGGGAGCCUGGCUCUAGAAAGAACAAGAUAAAAAUGGAGUAAAUGGCUUCAAGAUUUGACCCAGUAUGACGACAGAAGUAAUGGAAGCCAGAUCUGAUGUACUGGUAGCAGAUGGCAGUUAAUGCAGUGUACUUAAAGUCCAGGCCUAAAUGCUGCUUGAAAUGCUUUAAACAGAUGAUUAAAUACAAGUUGUUGCCUGCAUUAGCGGAAUCCUUCCUGCUCGGUUUGGGUUAGAUACAGGAAUCAACAUGAAAGGAGGAGUUGUUAGAAGACAGUUGUGCAAAAUCUGAAUGAAACAGUCCAUCUUGAGCCCAAUCCAGUUGAAAUCAAUGGCAAAAAUCCCACUGAUACCAGCUGGAUCCUCAGCUAACGUAAAUGGGCAUAGUUCCACUGACUCCUAUGGACCUGUUCCCAUUUACACCGGCUAACUAAGAUCUGGUCCAGUGGGAGCGGAAGCAGGCCCCUAACUGGUGCUGAAAAUCCUCAACUCCCAGUGACUGUCGUGGGAAUUAAGGGCACAAAGAAGCUUGCAGGAGGCAUUUCGCUCCUUUCAAGAUUGGGCCCUUUUCCAGGUGGGAUUGGGGCCUUGGUCUGGCAUCCCCUCCUAUGUGCUAACAUCGCAGGCUUCACAAAAGCACUUGUACAUCAGGCGACUGUAUGGGGAGGGUGGAAUUGGGGAUGCAUCUUUCAGAUUUGAAUACAAAUCAGACGCUGUGAACGUCUGUUUGUGACAUUGGUUCUCUUUUAGUUCUGCACCUAGCUUUAAAUUAACAUGGAAUAGAGCACGGCAGCUUGAGGUAUUAAUUAAAAAAAAAAAUCAGAGGAUGGGCCAUUAACCGUUUUUAAAAAAAACCACAUUAUUUAAGAUCUGAAAUUUGUCUCAGUGCUUACAAUUGAUCCACACUGUUCUUCUGCUUACAUCAGAUUAUGAUAACCAGCCCAUGAUGAGUAAAUAGCACUGCAUUAUGCAGUGAUACAGUAUGUGUAUUAUUGGUAACAAUGCAUUACAGCUUUCCAAAACAACGGUUAUUUCAUUCUCUUCCAGCCCUGCAUCAUUUGUACUUAAAGGGCCAGAAUGCUGGCAGUGGAGUCACUCCAGUUUUACACGGGUGUAACUGAGAGCAGAAAUUGUCUCUGGAUUGUGUAACGAUUUUUCAGAAAGCAAGGCACUGGCUGGAAACUUCUCCCAGGCUGUCCCUCUCAUGUGACUCAACCGAGACCCACAGGGACUGAACUCUGGAGGACACAAUUCAGCAAGAUGCUUAAACUUACUGAAUCAGGGCCUAAUAGAGGGCCUUUCAGCAGAGCUGCAAGGAAGGGUAAGACUAAUGCCUUCAAGAGAAAUGGACUGAUACUGCCAGUACCCAGCCCACAAAUAAUUCAAAACCUUGGGAAAGCACUUUUGUUUGAAGCAUGCUGGGCUCCGAUACCAAAAGGCAUGACAUAAAUACCUAGAUGGAUGGCUGAUAUAUAGUAGAAUGAUCUGUCUACAACUUCUGCAGACGAUGUAUCAUAUGUGACUUAAAUACCUUAUUUUCCCUCAUAGACAGCACAAGUUUAUUUUCUAAAGGGAAACAAACAGCUGCCUUCAAAUAUAGAAAUAUUUAAAGCGAUUCUCAAAAUGUACUGUUUGUGAAGUACCAUUUCAUCUGGCCUUUUGUAAUCCAAAUGAAUACCCCUCAGAUUUAGGAAACAAAUCAUGGGCAUAUGCUCUUUGAAAAGACGGCAGAUGUUUUAACCAAAAUAAUGCACAUGUACCAGCUCCUAGGUUCUCCUAGCAAGUCUAAACACUGACAGGGAUUCUCCCGAGGCCAUCAGGAAAUCAAACACCCAGAGGCGGCUGCUUGUUCAGGUGGCAAAAUAUCAGCAAGGGCUCUUAAACGAACAGAAUUCUCCAUGUACACUGUAAUGAUUGAUGUCUGUCUAACCACAGAAACAGAUCUUCAAACCACUUGAACAAGUAAUUCCCAGGUCACAUGUAAAUGAUAACCAUUUCCCAACUUCCAUCCUCCCUUUAUCUUUUCUGAUCAAACAGACUUGGAUUGAGGGAGCAAAUGGAUUGGAUGACACAAAAGCUCAGCUGUGGAAUUAAGUAAGUGACUAUGCUUGUGUUCAGGACUGACCAAAAUAAAAUGGCAAGGUGCAAAGUGUGUGAUUUAGUGUCAUGUACACUUGUCUCUAGUGAUAAAUCUCACAACCUUCAGCUGCAUGCCUCACAAUGCACCCAGCAUGUGUGCAUAAGAACAUGGUAACAAAAUAACUGUGCCUUACAGUGCUUAUUAUACAAUCCAUUGCUAAUGUGCAUAUGUGAAAGAAAACAAGAGGAUCAACAGCACCCAUGAGUGACAGUUCAGUGAACUCUGAUCUCAACGUUUGAUGGGUUGAGAGAACUAAAUUCCUAUAGCCUUUACUUAUACAAGUAUCAGCUGAGCUUGUUGCCUGAAUAAGCUUGCAAUAUGAGGCCCUAAGAGACUAUAAUAUCAUUCUUGUCUACCUAAAGGCAAGGGACACAAAACACUGGGGACCAGAUCCUCAUCUGGGAUAAAUCAGUAUAGCUCUGCUCACUUCAAAGGAGGUACGCUGAUUUAUAACCUCCGAAAAUCUGGCCCUGUGCUAUUUUCAGCUUAAGUACUUCAGCUCACACAGGAGAGCAUGGCCACAAAGAACUAGCAAUAUUUUAAAGUAAUAAAACACAAGGAGCAGUACGACUGUUUCGAGUUAUUUCAUACGUUAGGUGCACUGUGAGGUACAAAGCUGAAGGUCAAGUGAGUUCAACUUGCCUGAGAACAGCAACAAAUUCCUAGAAACUGGGUGGCGAGAUUAAUGUUGUUGAACUGAUAUUGCCACGAAAAAAAUAAAUAAAUAAGGAAAGAUUUUUUUAGCUGCAUAUUUAAGAUAGAUUACACACUUGGGAUUGAUGACUCAACAUUCCACUAGGGAAUAGGGAUCCCAUCACAGUCACUUAACAAUCUCUAGCUGUUUCCCACCUGUAAUACAGGGUUUAUCGUGCUUUGAGAUCUAUAGAUGAAAAGUG